GACGAACGCUGGCGGCGUGCCUAAUACAUGCAAGUCGAGCGGAAGUUGAAGAGCUUGCUCUUCAACUUUAGCGGCGGACGGUUGAGUAACACGUGGGCAACCUGCCCUGCAGAUCGGGAUAACUCCGGGAAACCGGUGCUAAUACCGAAUAGUUUUCGCCACCUCCUGGUGGCGUACGGAAAGACGGUUUCGGCUGUCACUGCAGGAUGGGCCCGCGGCGCAUUAGCUAGUUGGUGGGGUAACGGCCCACCAAGGCAACGAUGCGUAGCCGACCUGAGAGGGUGAUCGGCCACACUGGGACUAAGACACGGCCCAGACUCCUACGGGAGGCAGCAGUAGGGAAUCUUCCGCAAUGGACGAAAGUCUGACGGAGCAACGCCGCGUGAGUGACGAAGGUUUUCGGAUCGUAAAACUCUGUUGUGAGGGAAGAACAAGUACCACUUAACUACUGGUACCUUGACGGUACCUCACCAGAAAGCCACGGUUAACUACGUGCCAGCCGCCGCAGUAACAC
rnacentral:rRNA from 1 species